CUGAGGGAAGUAGUCCCUCUUCCUCUGUCUCAGGACCCUGACACUGUUUCUUGGAGCCUUUCUCCUUCGGGUGAAUUCUCCGUUAGUUCGGCCUAUCAGGCAUUAUGUCGUAUGCCGGUUCUACGGUGACUAUCCCCAUUGUGGAAGGCACCGUUGCCCUUGAAGAUUAAGGUUUUUGUAUGGCAGCUCCUCCGUGACCGUCUGCCUUCGGGGAUCGAGGUGUUGAAACGCCAUGGUCCGGGCAAUGGCCUUUGCCCUUUGUGCCAUGUCCCGGAAACGGGAACGCACAUUUUGUUCUCUUGCGUAGCAGCGCAGGCACUUUGGUGCUUUGUUCGUGAGGCUCUAGGGCUAGAGUGGGAGGCUCAUGACCUUGCAGAGUUUCUACAGGUUAGGGCCACUUAGGUUGGCCGUAAGCGCCGACUGUUCUGGCUCAUCUUCGUGGCUAUGAUGUGGACUCUCUGGACUACUCGCAACAAGAUGGUGAUUGAGCGGGUGUUCCCGCUACGUGCUUCUGACUCUUUCUUCAAAUUUCUUGCCUUCUUGCAGCACUGGCAUCCGCUCACUAGGCCGAGGGAUCGUGAUCGACUUCAGCUAUUCCUGGACGCCCUGGUGUCUACCGCGCGUCGGCUCUCCGACCGUUCGCAUGUUUCGUAG
rnacentral:rRNA from 1 species